ensembl:lncRNA
CACCUUUCAGAUUUCAAACUGUAGUAGGCCAUCACAUUCUCCUGAGCAUUACCAAACAGUUGCCUACAUGUCACUUAACUCGUUUAUAUCCUGUGUUAGGAAGAGACUAAAGGAGAGGAAUAACAGGGGGAGAAGAGCAGGCUAAUUCUAGUUAAAGGUGCAGUUGGUGAGGGUUAGGGUUAUUAGAAGGUACAGCGCGCAGUGGUGAGGGUUAGGGUUAUUGUAGUUAAAGGUUAAAGGUACAUUGUGCAGUGGUGAGGGUUAGGGUUAUUGUAGUUAAAGGUGCAGUGCACAGUGGUGAGGGUUAGGGUUAUUAUAAAGGUUAAAGGUACAGUGUGUAGUGGUGAGGUUGCUGAAUUGCGUCCAGCUGAAUACCCAUCCCUUUACAAGCCUAUGCGAGUGCCU